GCAAAAGUCACACAGAUAGUGACUGUUGGCUACAUAACCCAGGGGCUGUACUCGGGUAUGUGAUCUGUUAACCAGAAAAGCCUUCAUGUUCCAAAAACAACCUCAAUUUGCAAAAUCUUAAUAUAUGUAAAUGUAAAGCACAUAUAAAAAAAACUUAACAUGAAUGCUUUUCAUAUACAUUAAUAAAGAUAAAGAUUUGUUUCGAAAGUGAAACACUGGUUUUGCCCCAGUUUCAGUGGGUAAAGAAAUGCGUUUUCAUACCAACACGGUUUCUGCCUGUACAGCCUGGUAGCGUGAAGAAAAAAAACGAUAAGGAAAGUUAAAAAAAUAAACAAAUAAUUCAAAUUCAACAUUUAAGAAUUUUAAGUAAUCCUAAUAAGUAAACCUAUGUGUCGAAGUCCUACCUGAAAAGCCAUCACUGUAUCCAMGCUAGCAGUAUCCAACCCAAAAAUAUCAAUGAACUGGGGAACGUGAAUUUAAACGGGGCUUGUUUUGUAGUUUACUGCAGCUGCAUUAAAUUUGAUUUAUUUACUUUUUAUUGGGUCUUGUUUUUUCUUCUCGCGUAUGACGAGCUGACGGCUCCUCUCGAUACCGCAGACCUCCUGCAGAAUGCGCAUGCGUACUUACUACAUGUGUGCUAUUCUGACAUGUAUGGCUAUCUGACAGAACACAGUGUCUCCACUUUUAAUGUAUUUAUUUCCUCACGUAUUCUACCCUUGGAGAGUUAAAAAACACAUUUUCUUUCAGAUGUACUGUCCAUUUUGUGGGACUGCCGCCAUAAAUUCUGCAGACUUUUGUUGUCAAUGUGGCAGAAACAUAAAAUUUGUCCAAGAUCAUGCAAACAAAGCCCAGGAUGAGAGGGACACUACCACUGCAACUCCCGAUGUUCAGCCAAGCACCAGCACAGGUCUGGGAUGGUCCAGAUGAAGCAAGCACUCAAAGACUGGAGAAAAUUUUGAAUGGGCAUUUUGGACACAGAACAAGGGUCUGAUCAGGAUGGAGGAAACCCCAACGUCCAGGAGCUUGCCAUGUCCUCAGAGGGCCAGAACCACUUCUAUCGCAACUACACAAAUGUGUACGCACCUACAAUAGUUGACAGCGACUCUGAGCCGGACGAAUAUCUGAUGCAGUCCCCUGAGGAAAGUACAGACGACGUGACUGCUGCAGACAUCAUUUCAGAGCUCUCAGCAAAGAUCACAUCAUCAUCUCUCAGCCGCUUUAACAUAAACGGAGCCAAUGUUUGGGAUGGAGCACUGAGAGGUUUCAAGCCGGCUUCUUUCAACCCUUUCAAUGAAAUAUUUGUAAAAUUCACCGAUGACGAGGGACAGGCAGAAGUUGAUGACGGUGGUCCCAAGCGCCAGUUUCUAAGCCUUUUAAUGAACUGCUUAAGGACACGCAGAGUCUUUGAUGGACCAGAAGAAAGGAAAUUUAUCACUUUUGACAGUGAAGAUAUUGACAUUAAGAGCAAUAUUUCAGUUUUCUCAUACGAAUGUGACAGUUGUUGGUGAAUGUGGAAUUAAUGUGAACAAAAUCUAUACAGCUGCCAAAAAUGAUUAUUUCCUGGUUGGGAGGAUGAUUGCCACUUCUGUCGUUCAUGGAGGUCCAGGUCCUCGAUUCUCAGCACCUCACAGGAACAUCAACCAAUACAGGAGGAAAGAUGGAAGACAUCACCGACACCAUGAGGGCUUCUUUGAUUCAGAUCUCCAGUGCAGCCACAUUGACUGAACUUCCAGUCAGUUGAAAGACAUGAGCAUCUUGCAAACUGCUGGUUGCUGUGAGUGUUGAUGACAAAUGGAAGAUUGUAAAGGAGUUCAUUAAUUGGUACAUCAUUUACCACAAUCAUUUCUCUGUUCAAAGAUUCAAGGAUGGCCUUUCAACACUGAACUUCCAGAAUGCUCUGGAGCAGCAUGCUCCUGUGUUCAGGCCAUUUAUGUGUGCAGAGUGGAACAGCUGACAUCCAAAAUGUUUGAGGUUCAGCUCAGUGAAAAGGGCAGCAGCAGACAUGAGGAAGCAAGAGUGCUAGGAUUCUGGAAAGAUUAUCUCCUUGAGACAGAAGAACAAAAAAUGGGUCCCUCUCUCCAGGACAUCCUGAUGUUUGCCACCGGCUUGAACACACUACCUCCGUCUUCAAUUCUGCCACCACCAAAACUGAUUUUUCAGGCCACUUCUCGUUUUCCUGUCAGUAGCUCCUGAUCCAACACCAUCAGAACACCAAUGUCCAAGACAUAUCAGUUUAAAGAAGACAUGGACUGUGGGAUUCAAGACUCCCCAGGGUUUGGGCUUUAUUAAGGUCAAAUGCAUAACAACAAAACAAAAUGCUGACUAUUUAACUUGUCAAACCUGUUCAGUUAUGACACUGUUGGGUUGUGUUUGUGUGAGACCUUCAAAUUUGGAUUCUUGUUUAUUUAUAAGUCCGCCAUGUUUUUCAGUUUGAUAGUUUUCGCCACAUGAUUCCCAACUCUGUGGAUGUGCCAGGCCACCCUGUGUCUGGAGGUCCUCAAACUGCCUGAAGGUGUUCGUCUCCACAUUGAAUGUUGGUCUCAGUCACAAACUGUCCCAGUUGCUCCUGGGAGACUGGAAACCAGUCUGUUCCACCAAACCUAGGAAUAGAAGAAGCACAGUAAACAUUUAGUUAGAUUUACAUUUCUUCACUCAACUGUUACUGCUAUGACUAUUGUUGUAGCCUGUUUAAAUGAUUGAUUGUAUUUAAAUUUACAUUUUAGAAAUUAAUGUCAUCUGAAAUUGUUAGAAUAAAAAGUGACAUGCCGUUAACACAUCGCUCAUUAUUUUUGUUUUGGCAAAUUAGUUUUAGAGCUUCCCAAAGAGGUUUUAAAUUAACCAGAUGUUAAUUAAAUAAAAGACAAAGGCAACAAAAAUGACCUGUGAGGCAGAUGAUGCAUCACAUCUGGUUUACCAGAUGGACAGCAAGAUUGUUUAACAGGUCUUCAGUUUAUCCCACCUGUCCUUGCAUUCAUCAAGAUCUCUGUAACAAAUCAUGUGUUUUUUUGUUGUUUUUUUUUUAAAUUUUGAAUCUGAAGUUCUUAUUUGGACUUGGAAAUAAGCAGAGACAUAUAAUAAGCCCCUUAAUUUGUCUGACAUCCAAGCAGUUUUAGUCAGGACUUCCAGGUACAUCUGUUCCCGGAUGAUCCAUCUUGCUGUGCCUUUGGUAAUGUCAAGGUAAUAUAUUUGUUGUGAGCGACCUUGACUUUCGCAUUGCGCUCCAGAAAACUGCAAAAUCGAGACUAAUAUGAACAGAGCGAUAAACGUGAAAACAGCCAAGCAUGAACGUUUCUGUAAAGUUGCCCAACUAAACGCAUUUAUAAUCCAAGUGUCACAAAUCUGCGCAGCGGGCCAUCUGAGUGGUGGAGCAGCAGGAAGAGCGCUGCGCUCGGACAGGGCCGUAACGCAGAGCCUAGAGGCCGAGGUGGGAGGGGGGCUCUACAAUCCUAUUUAUAGUUUUCCAGACAAUAGUGGAAAUCACGAAAACAUACAAAAAAUACUAAGGUUUUAUUUGCGUGUGUGUGUGUGUGCUGUUGUAACCAUUAAUCUCCCGUUCAGUUCAACCUUAUAAGCGGAGAUACAUACUGGAUAUUACUAUAAUUAAAUAACUUGCAAUUAAGUAUUUGCAAAGCUCAAGCUUUUCACAACUGGUGGAGAAAAAUAAAAAAUGUAACUUGGUAACUUUCCAAAAAAAUAAUCACUAAUCUACUUUUUCAAGUAGUAAUAAGUAAUCGAUUAAAGUUACAUUUUCAAAGUAACUGUCAUCACUGCUUACCAGUGUUUUGAUCUUGUGCCAAGAACUGCACAUUUUUCCCACAUGAAAAACAGAAAACUUGAAUUGUUCCUAGAUUUUGUCCACAGAAACAGCAAAACAUGGCCACCUAAAAAGGUAAAUGGUGUGAACAUGGGUAUAGUGGAAACCAGACAUGUACACACAAAAAAA